GUUUCUUUCUAUUGAGAGCACAAGGUUCUACACUGCAGAAAUAGCUUGCGGUCUGCAUUAUAUUCAUGACAGAAACACCAUCCACUGUGACCAGAUAAUAUCUUACUGGGUGGCGGAGGCCACAUAAAUAUUGCGGACUAUGGACUUGCUACUCUGAGCAUGAAUGGCCAGUGCUGGGACAGGUCAUACGGUGGAAGUCCAGCCUACACUGCUCCAGAG